AGAAAACCCUAGCCCCCUCUCAUCUUCCUCCCUCGCGCCGCCACCAUCUCUCUUCCCCUUUCCUUCUUCUCUCUCAUGAACAGAAACACGCAAGGAAAACCACCAAUGACCGCCCCCACAGUACUCUCGUCGCCCCGCCAUUCCGUUCGACCCCGCACCAAACCGAGAGUACCAGGAGAUGCGGCUCGUUCUCCUCUUCAACCUGGUACAAGGAAUCGAGCCGGGACGCUCCCAGUCGCCACCAAGCUCGCCGUUUCUCCUUCGACUCCUGCAGCAUUUAUCGUUGAUUCCGGCCACUCGGCUCCUCCCUCGGCGACCUUGAACACACCACCGUGCUCCUGGAGCUCGUCGCCGGCGACACUCCGGUGCCUCCCCGGCCAACCCACCAACCUCAUCUGGACCGCCAUGCCAAGGCGCACCCCCGACGCCAACUCCCCCGCCUCGGUUCGCCCUGAAUCGCCGGAUUCGUGGUCGACUAGAUCUCAGUCCGCCAUGGCCGUUCUGGCCCCAAGCUCCGCUUUGCCUGCUUUCAAAAGAAGGUGUCCCAGAUAUCAUACAGAAAUCUUGCAACAGCGCAGUGGCGGGUCCCUUUCAUCAGCCUCACACGGAGCCACGUCUGCGUCUCUGCCUCGUCAGCGCCUCGUCACCUCCCUGGUCCCGCGGGUCAGCCGCACGGGCUAGCUUCUCUUCGCAUUUGCUUCUUCCCGGAUAGGAUCACGAAGUGGUGUUGUGAGAUACGACAAGUUCUUCUGCAGCUUUUCACAGGCGAGCCCACCCCUUCACCUAUUUUACUUUUACAUGCUCUUUUGAUCUAUUGCUAUCCUUAUGUUGCGAUUCUAUUGUGUCAUGUGUCCUAUCCACCUGUUACCUAUAUGUCCGAGAUACACCUCCUCGCCCUACCUUUUGUUUGUUGUUUGCCAGCUUUGCGAGUCGUAGGCGAGUUUAGGGUUUUUGUUGAUAUCUCGAAAUGUUCGGGAUAUCUUGUUGGGAUGUUGACACAUGUACUACCUUUUCGAAAAUGAAGUGGAUAACUUUUGCUACAACUAAAAUUGUUAAGGGUUAUAAUAUGCAGAGGCAUCUGUGA